GGGGGUACAGGUCAGUGGCAGAGCAUUCAACUGCAGAUUGAGAGAUCCCCGGUUCAAAUCCGGAUACUGCCU